rnacentral:rRNA from 1 species
GACGAACGCUGGCGGCGUGCUUAACACAUGCAAGUCGAACGAUGAAGCCGGAGCUUGCUCUGGUGAAUUAGUGGCGAACGGGUGAGUAACACGUGAGUAACCUGCCCUUGACUCUGGGAUAACUGCGGGAAACUGUAGCUAAUACCGGAUACGACCCUCGGAGGCAUCUCCUGGGGGUGGAAAGAAUUUCGGUCAAGGAUGGACUCGCGGCCUAUCAGCGAGUUGGUGAGGUAAAGGCUCACCAAGGCGACGACGGGUAGCCGGCCUGAGAGGGUGACCGGCCACACUGGGACUGAGACACGGCCCAGACUCCUACGGGAGGCAGCAGUGGGGAAUAUUGCACAAUGGGCGCAAGCCUGAUGCAGCAACGCCGCGUGAGGGAUGACGGCCUUCGGGUUGUAAACCUCUUUUAGCAGGGAAGAAGCGAAAGUGACGGUACCUGCAGAAAAAGCACCGGCUAACUACGUGCCAGCAGCCGCCGAA